rnacentral:misc_RNA from 1 species
CAUUGCCCACCAAAACCAAUAUCAAAAUCGAUAAUAUGAAUUCUAUCAAAACCUUCACACGCCUCGAGGAGGGCUUGAUUACAAGUAAAAUUAACAAACUGAAGGAUCGGAGAGAUUUCAGAGAAAGAUUUGUAAGCACCAAUCUUGGAAAUAAGACUACAAGCGGACAUAGUAGAUGGGUUGGUACUGUUGUUCAUGUGAAGAAGCAACUGCAAGGCUUCCUUGAAGUAAAAAGCAGCCCUAAUAUGAGGCUUGCCGAUCGAAAGAGAGAGCUGGUGAUUGAGCCGCGCCAAUAUCCCUUGCGCGAGAACCGGAUNNNNAUCAGCUCUGCUGCCUGGCAUAUUGGGUUUAAUAUCGCCUGCUGAAGCUGUUGGGCCGCCAAUUCAUCCGUCAUAAUUUUUUGCUUCAUCAUUGCUGGUCUCUGCUGUUGGAGCAUUUGAAGCUGAUGUUGCUGCUGUUGCUGUCGUUGGAGAAAAAAGUCUGGCUUUGAAUCGGAAAACGGAACCUUUGGCACCUCAUAGUUGGCUCCAAUGGGCCCUGAACUAAGCCGCUUUGUUGGCGGCGGUGAUAAGAGAUGAAGCUCCUGCAACUGGGCAUAUGACAACGGCAAGAACAUAGCUGGAUUCUGGCCAAACUGAGCUGGAUUUUGGUCGGUUAUCACCUGUGGAUUGAAAAUCUGCGGCUUCUCCUCUGUAGCUUCAAUCGGCGGCAGCUGUUGAUGUUGAAACAUACCCAGCAAUAGGUUGCCAGCUGAAGUAGGAUUUACCAGGCUCGGGUUUUGGCUCAAUACCGAACCAAUCUUAGCAUUGUGGCUGAGAAGAGGGAACUCGGAAGAAGUUACAUGAACAGAAGGGUCAAUGCUGUUCACCAAGCUGCUACUAUUCAUGGGCUCAAAGCCGAAACCCUGAUCCACUACCCCAAAACCUUCAUUGAACUCCAUAUCUUGCGACCCAGUUCCACUUUGCAAGAGCUUGUUCAAUCCCAAAGUUGGGUCCUCAACAUCACCCAUAAUUAGCCUCAAAAUUGACUGUUCAUGACUAGGAGACCCAGGCAACACGCCCUCCCAGUCCUCCAUUCCAAGCUGCCC